UAAGAGAAGUAGCAAAGGUUGAGGAGGGGGCUAACUCCAUUCCUAAUAAUUCCAUGCCUCCCCUCCCCCGAAUCCGGUGACGGGUUCCAUUACAGCACAAUUGAGAAAACUUUUGUCCCCGAGUGUUUCCAGGUCACAGCCCCAAGAUUCCCCUCUGAAACAGCAGGUCCUGCUCUCCCACUAUGGGGAAAGCCUGACCCGCAGGAACUCAAGCUUGCAGGAGGGAACUUAGGCCCCUGCCUUCCGGUCUCACCUGGAUCCUUAGGCCAAGCCCGGGAAAGGGGCUGGCAUGGAGCCAGCGGUGUGCUUGCUGGACUGCGGCUGGACUAGGGGCCGCCAAGGUGCCGGAGUGGAGGUGGGGGUGGAGCAAGGGGCACAUAAAAGAAGAAGGAAAAAAAAAAAGUCUAGGACUUUGGCGCGCUCUGUGGAAACCCGCACUGCAACUCCUGCAGGAGCGGGUCGGAGCGGCUACGACUCAAUGGCCCCCUACCCCAUCCCCCAAACCCAAAGCAAAAAGUUGCAAGAAUGGAAGCUCGAAGGACGAACCCUCCCCCUAGGAGUGGCCUUUAGGCUCGCCCAGCCCCCACCCCUUCCUCCGACCUGGGCCGAAGCGGACAGGGAAGAAAGGAACGCGCCUGCCCCGCGAGGCCAGACGGCUACAGGGUCAGCUGUGCCUGCUCCCGCCCGGCGCGGGCAGCUGCUCCAUUAAGCCCGGGAAUUAUGCAUGGCCCCGGACCCGCUCUCCUCCCGCUCAGGGUGCAAUCAACGUGCACGGCGAGGAGGGCGAGCAGGAAUGGCCGGAGGAGGACCUGGAGAGUCCCAAGGCCCGAAAGAAAGCUGCUCAUCGGAGGUCCCCAGCCAACUCAGCAGGGCCGGGGGACGGUCACCAGCAGCCAGGGAGGCCCGGGUGUAAACACCAAGGUGUAGGUGUGCCUUGUGCCGGGCUAGAGCACUGCGCAGCCGGCUCCAAGGGAGGCCAUUGUGUUCUCCUGCUGAGUGAACUGGUGUCAGUGGACCCAAACUUCCAAGUGCCCUCCAAGACGACGGUCUGAAGAUGCAUACCACGUGGAUCAGGCCAAGAAGCACAGUAACAGUCCCCUCUUCUUGGAGUCUAGGAAGGACCAGAGGCCGGGUGGGGGAAGGGCUGCUGCGGCCAGAGGCGGGAAAGGAGAUGGGUCUCUUAAGCUGCAGGUUCCAGGCGCAAGGGAAAUUGCAUUAGUGGUGCCUUGUGGCAAGAGCCUGAGGAGGUUCAAGGUCAGAAUGUAGAAGAUUUUGAUGUCCAUCCCCACCCCAGAUGACCCUCUUAGGCCUCAAAAGCACCCUGAAACCUUUGGGACCACUACCACAACCAAGGGCCACUUUCCAGACUCCUGCACUGCAGUAUACAGAUCCCGACCUCCUUUGCGAUUCGAUAGACUCUGUUUACGAAAAUCACUUUUUUCCCCAGAGCAAAGGCCAGGUCAGGAAAAUUACAUGCCAUUUUCCCCCUUCCCAGCGAAUAAAGUCGCCUGGUUUGCAGGGAAAGUUUUACAAGCCAAUGAUGCAGGGAAGACCGCACUGUUUGGGUCCCUUAAUUGGCUCGCUUUGAACUCGGGUGGGGGUGGGGCAGACCCGACUCCCAAGAAAGAAUUCAGUUCUGGUCUAGGACCCUGCGACUGGCUUUCCAGCUAUGAGGUGGGAAAGGGUUAAGGGAGGACCACUUCUAUUUCUUUUUAAGGGAGAAGGAUCCUGACCCUUCCCAGCACCCUAAACCCAGGGUGAGGUUAUGAGGUCCAUAACCUCAAGGGCCAUCUCUAACUGGACCCCUACCCUCUAUAGAAAUCUGAUCUGUCUUGGAAAAACUGAAAGGAAGCCACUCAGACAGUUCGAGGGAAACCAGGUUUAUUCUUCCUGGACGCUAACUAGUGUGUCAUCACUGGGGUGUAACCCAGGCACUGGGGCUAUAGCCAUUUUACAUGGCUCUGCAUUUAAGGGCUGAUCCCUACACCUGCAGUUGCCCUGUCCCUGUAAGGUCAUGCUGACAACCUGAAAGUCAUUGAAACCGGCCCCUGGCUCUAGCCCCCAGAUGACAGCUCUGUUGACAAAUCCUUAGGUAUGGCUGUUUUAGACUGGAGGUUUGCCCUGGCUGGGAGGCACAUCUAAAUAGUUUACCACGGGUCUAAUCCAGGAGUGUAGGGUCCAGGUCCAGGUAUUAUGUGGGAAGCCACAGAUGCCACCCCAGGUCUGAGGCUUACCAGGAGGUCUAACCUUUCCCUCCCCCGGACUGGGGAUCCAAGACUCUGUUUAUGAAACACCCCCCCAUAUAAUACUAACACCCCUUCUCACAUUUUAGCUUAGAAGGUGGGGAGCCAGAGAGGGAAUGGGCCUAAUCAAGGUCACACAACAAGAAUACUCCUUCCAGGUCUCAGAUCCCUGCCAUCAGUUUGACCCUCCUCUCCCUGGACCUCACCUGAUGGUUCUGAUCAGUUGGGGCAACACAGGCAGCAGUGGACACAUAACCACUGAUAAGUAUAGAACAGGUGAAGCCACUGUCCUCCAGGCCCCACUUCCUCUCUGAACGGCCUCCAGUAGACAGCACCCAUGGCCCAACUAGGAGCAAAAAGCCUGUCUGUUACCUAACUUAGUUAAGACCCACUGGGUCCCGCAGGAGAAGUCCGCAGUGAGGACUCCUUCCCGGGCAGGGAUCAGAAGCCAGGCUUCAGUGAACCACCCACAGACUUAGGCCCUACCCUGGCUAUGCUGCCUCUCCUGCAAAAACGAAAGCAGUGGCUGAGUUUAGAGGACAGAGAUCACACGCAGAACCAAGAGUCAAGGAGGACCGCAUCUCUGCUUGCUUCCCCCGUCCUAGGUAGAGGGGGGUUCGAGUUAACUCCUGCUGCACGUGUUUACAGGAUUUAAUGGAGGCUUAAUCUUUACAAGGUCCUUGGAAAUAGUGCUACACAGCACACACUCGACAGGCAUGCGUUAAAUUAAAAAUCCAGCAACAGAAGCCUCAACCUUCAGUGGAAAGAUAACCCAGGAGGACAGGAGGAGUGGCCAGGCUGUCCUGUUUGCACAGUCAUGAGCAAACACACACACACACACACACACACACACACACACCAGUUUUGUAUAAGACUAACAACAGUGCCAUCAACAAACCCUAUCACAUACUAUCAAUAGAUAGAUAGAUAGAUAGAUAGAUAGAUAGAUAGAUAGAUAGAAUCAUACUCUAGUCAACUGCUAACUACUGACAGAUAGACAAACAAACAAAAACAAUAACAGACUGAGUGGGAUUAAAUUCUCCCUACAGCCAAGUUUCUCUCUCUCUCUUCCCUCUCUUCCUUCCUCAAACGCUUCUCUAAGACUGGGCCAGUAAGCACGGGCCAUCCAGCAGACAAAGAUACCCACCUAAAGGAGGGGGGACUACCCUUCUAACAGCCCGAUGCUUGCACAAUCCAGUAAAAUGUUGGACCGCUGCUGAGAACUGAGGCCGUGCCUGUCACAGCUCUGGUUCUUACAGCUCACGAGCUGUCACAGGUGAAAUGGGACCCUCCCUGGGAGAUAAGUAGCCCCCCGGGGCAGUCUGUCCUGACUCGGGAUCACAAGAGCUAAGUUCAGACAAGCGACCAAGCCUGUGGUAGCCCUGUCUGCUCUCCCAGUGUCACCUCUGGUCCUGUAACAACAGCUCCUGGUCUAGGGGCUGGGUGUACAGAGAUGCAGUAUCAAAUAAAAUUCACAGUAAACUGUC